rnacentral:rRNA from 1 species
CCUACGGGAGGCAGCAGUGAGGAAUAUUGGUCAAUGGGCUUACGCCUGAACCAGCCAAGUCGCGUGAGGGAAGACGGCUCUAUGAGUUGUAAACUGCUUUUGUACGAGGGUAAACGCAGAUACGUGUAUCUGUCUGAAAGUAUCGUACGAAUAAGGAUCGGCUAACUCCGUGCCAGCAGCCGCGGUAAUACGGAGGAUUCAAGCGUUAUCCGGAUUUAUUGGGUUUAAAGGGUGCGUAGGCGGUCGGAUAAGUUAGAGGUGAAAUCCCGAGGCUCAACUUCGGAAUUGCCUCUGAUACUGUUCGG